rnacentral:lncRNA from 1 species
AGUUUCUAACAUUGUUAUGGCAUUAGCAGUGAUGAUAACAUUGUUGUUCUUAACACCAUUGUUUCACCACGCCCCACUUGUUGUUCUUUCUUCAAUUAUAAUGGCUGCAAUGCUUGGCCUAAUAGACUAUGAAGCUGCAAUUCAUCUUUGGCAAGUAGACAAAUUCGACUUUGUAGCGUGCAUGAGUGCUUACUUGGGCGUCGUUUUUGCCGACAUUGAGAUUGGCCUAAUCUUGGCUGUAAGAACCUACUUUAAUCGAACACUAAGAGCACGAAUUGUGUGUGGAACUAGUGGUUUUAAGAACUAAAUGUGUGUAUGGAAAUGCAUGUUGGAUUAUCUGUGCUUAGGGCACUGUUAUUUGUAGCAAGACCGAGAACUUUUGUUCUUGGAAAUAUCCCAGAAACUAGGAUUUACCGAAGUGUUGAUCAAUAUCCAAACACGAAUAAUGUCCCAGGGC